UACGUAGGGGGCAAGCGUUGUCCGGAAUUAUUGGGCGUAAAGAGCGCGUAGGCGGUCCGAUAAGUCGGCUGUGAAAGUCCAGGGCUCAACCCUGGAAAGCCGGCCGAUACUGUCAGACUAGAGUCCGGAAGAGGCAAGUGGAAUUCCCGGUGUAGCGGUGAAAUGCGCAGAUAUCGGGAGGAACACCAAUUGCGAAGGCAGCUUGCUGGGACGGUACUGACGCUGAGGCGCGAAAGCGCGGGGAGCAAACAGG
rnacentral:rRNA from 1 species